rnacentral:misc_RNA from 1 species
AAGGAAUAGUACGGAAACUACACAUCGUUUGCCUUUGUUCAGUUUUGAGAGGUUUACUCUCAAACGAAUUUGUUCAUUGAAAACUGGAUAUUUAAAGUAAAGAAAUCAAAACAAACCGAGAACACCGCGUUGAAUGAGUUUUUUAAUAAGUUCAAUUGCUUAUUUUUCUUGAUAAAACUUCUAUCGCUAGAAGAUCUUUAUCAAAACCCAACCGUAAGGUUGAU